rnacentral:lncRNA from 13 species
GAUAAUGCAGAGUUCCAUGGAAUGGGCGAAAGAUUGAAGGAUCUAUUUGAGAGAGAGUUCAAGAGUACUCCAUUCAGCAUCCAACUUCAGGGGGCAGGCAGGCAGAGCCAUGCACGAGAUAGCGAAAUCCUAUUGGCGCAUAUUGCAUAUUUCCGUUAGGGAACGCCUACUACGUGAAGUGCGCGUGUGCAAUAACUCGAUUCGCCUUUGCACUCCUAAACAACGGCAUUUUUAAAAACGUUUGCAAAGGCUAAAGUCUACACACUUUAGUCCACUCUGUUCAUAACAUAUUCUAGUUUUGGGAACAGACAACUUUGAGAUCAAAUGUUUCAUCGGUGAGAACAUUUGCAGAAUGUCGGCCAAAAUCCAUCUCGUUCCAUCUUCUCCCACUAUCCGCCAGUAGUCUUCCUCUCAGUACCAUAUUUGGAAGCGAGUGGAAACGUCAAGCGGAUGCUUCACAUUUAAACAUCCAGUGAAUCAUCUGUCUCAUUGUUCCAUCUUUGAUGUCACCUUCAUAAUUCUUUGUAUCCGCUUUGUACGUGCGGUUCUGUUGAGGAGAAUGUCAGACAGAGCAGCAGCGCCCUCUUCAGGGCAGUCUGGGCAGCGUCUGCGUUGCGUCUCUGCACUCGUGCAGGGCCUGCGCACGCAAGUACACGUCACCACAAUUGCCAGCAGCGAAUCCAUGCCCAGAGCUGCGAAGCAGCGUUGCGCAGACAUGCUUGGUAAAGUACGCAGCCAUUUCCCUUCAGCUUGUUGUAAAGUCACAGGUCCGAGAAUGCAAAUACUGCAAUAGUGGCUGAUGUUGGGGUUUGUAGGCGAAUUUCUUUAUCGAAAUGAAAGACUAAAACUUUUUCCUUCUCAUAAGCAUUGAGAGAAACAGCCACAUAGGCAGCCUAUUUAGACGUGGUCGAGCGAUUCCAUAACCAAGACAGUGCGCAUGGUAGACGCGGUAAUGUCGUUGAAUAUCACUGUGAAAAGUGAAGACUCCGAGUCCUUUGACGAUGAAGACGAAUCAUCUUCGCUGCUUUCGGGCAAAAGAGCGACGGAGUCUGCAGCUCGUCAUGAUAUUUCUCCGGGAGAAGGCGGUCCAAUAGAAGACCAUGCAGGGUAUUCAACACAGCAUGGGCGGCUAGCAACUAAAACGAACAGCAAACCCAUCGUACUGUAUCCUGUGAGUGCUGACCGUUUCUUUUCCUCUACUUCUGCAGAUGGCAAAACCAUCUUAAAGAUAGCUCCAGCCGCAGUCAUGACCCUCCCGACUCCUCGGCCUCCUCCCCAGGUUUCCCCAGAGUUCUCCUACCAGGCCAUCGUGUACUUGAUCGAAGCAGUGGGGCGCCGCUGGAGCCUGUACGGGACCCGGGAGCGUUCGCAGCUCUUCCAGAGCGUGCAGAAGGAGUUGGAGGAGCAAGGUCAUUGUCUUCCCGUUGAGAAGAUCCGCCGCAAGUGGAACAACUUGAUCGUCACCUACAAGAGGGUCAAAUACAGAGGCAGGGAGACCGGCCAGGCCAGAACCUCCUGGGAGUACUUUGAGAUGAUGGAUGCCAUGCUUGGUGACACCAUCGGCGCCGAGACCACUAGCAGCCCUACCCUAGUAACCAGCAUCCCUAAGGUGAACGUCGCCACGGAAACUGCCAAAACAGAGCAGAAGCCCCUCCUUCCCCAUGGCAACCUCAUCACUGCAUGCACUCGGACACUCACCCUUGUCCCCUCCUCCCUCCCACUCCACACGCCAGUUCCCUCCACCCUCCCUCUCUACACCUUUGUCAGAUCCCUCCCUCCCCCCGUCCGCUCCUCCCUCCCUCUUCCCACCCCCAUGGACACGCCCUCCCCCAGGAUAGCCAAUAACACAGACCCUCCACAGCCAAACCCCUCCCCUGCUCCGGUCGCACAGCCCCCUGCCUCCCGUCACAUCCCCUCCAACCUCAGCCGCAUAGACCUCCGCAGAAAGAAGCGCUGUCGCUUCUCCUCCAAGGGAUCCUCCAUUACCUCCCUUCUGGCCCAGCAGCAGAAGCGAGCAGAAGAAGGCACCUCCUUGCUGCAGGAGUUCCUGAGGAGGCAGGAGGGGCAGGCCAAGGAGGAGCAGGGGCGUCGCAGCAGGAUGGAGGCCCGGGGGAGGAGGCGCGAGAGGAGGGAGGCGCGCAUGGCAGAGUCCCUGGGUAGGAUGGCCACGGCUCUGGAGCUGCUUUCCUCCAAACAGGACACAGUCAUUGCCCUGCUGCAGAGACUGGCUGAGAGAGACAGGAAGUGA